UUUAAUCUUUCAGAUUUUAGCUGCUCAUCGCUGGAUCCUUUCGUCGUCGUCCAUGUGGUUCCUGUCCUUCUGGACCCCUUGUUUUUCACACUGCUUGUUGGAUCUCCUCCGCCUGUAAUCCUCCACCUUCAGCACCACCAGUCAGGUGGAGGAAGAUAAGAGAACCCAGUUGACAAAAAAACAGAGCUUUGUGUUGAUGGAAGGAGGAUCAGGAAUAGAGCAGAGGACCUGCUGAUCUACUGGUUCUAGUAGAUUUUAUAAAUGGUUGGAUCUCCUCCGCCUGGAAUCCUCCGCCUUCAGCACCACCAGUCAGGUGGAGGAAGAUAAGAGAACCCAGUUGAAAUAAAAAGUAAGAACAUUUCUAUGUACACAGCAUAACUAAUCAUUUCAAAUAUAGUUGCAGAGAGCUGAGCUGAAAGUUAGAAGCUGUCUGCUGUUCAUGCAUAUUUUCCUCCUUAACUUUAUCUUCUCUCUUUAUUUCAUUUCUCUGUGAACUCAUGUGAUGACUGGAGUUGACCAACAAUUAAAUCAGAAGAAGACCUGCUCCACCUGCUGAUCUACUGGUUGUAACAGCUUGUGGGAAAGCAUCACUGGACCAAUCAGGCGAGAGAAGACAGAGAGGACUGAGGACUAAAACAAAAAUACUCUGCCUGCCAAAAAAGGCAGACGAUCCAGUGGCCCCAGGUUUACACACCAUCUGCUGGUUUGAGGCAGACCGACCGCUGGGGAGAUGGACCUCACCUGGCACCAUUACUCUGGAUGUAACAGGUAGCUCGACUCUCCUGUCAAUCAAAACAUCAAUGACUCGAGAAGCGGACAGCGAGGUUUCUGGUGCCUGGCUGGAGACAAGAUUCUGAUUAUUCAAGAGCCAAAACAAAACGUCAGAAUAAAUAGUUAGAAGGCAGAUUUGUUUUCUAUUUGUCGUUGUUUUCAUUAUUAAUGCUCCAUAACACAAAAUUCAUCAGUGCUGUAACUCUUGAGUUGAAUAAAAUGUUCUUCUUUCAA